AAAAAGAUAAGCUAAAAAUUAAGCUUUUAGGUUCAUAUCCUAAUUAUAGAUAAAUAAUCUUCUUUUUA
rnacentral:tRNA from 1 species